rnacentral:tRNA from 1 species
GGAGGUGUAGCUCAGUGGUCGAGUACUUGCCUAGCAUGUGUGAGGUCCUGGGUUCUAUUCCCAGCACUGCAA